UACAUAGCAUAUCAGAAGGCACACCCGGAGAACUGAAACAUCUUAGUACCCGGAGGAAGAGAAAGAAAAUUCGAUUCCCUUAGUAGCGGCGAGCGAAACGGGAAGAGCCCAAACCAAAAAGCUUGCUUGUUGGGGUUGUAGGACACUCUAUACGGAGUUACAAAGGACGACAUUAGACGAAUCAUCUGGAAAGAUGAAUCAAAGAAGGUAAUAAUCCUGUAGUCGAAAAUGUUGUCUCUCUUGAGUGGAUCCUGAGUACGACGGAGCACGUGAAAUUCCGUCGGAAUCUGGGAGGACCAUCUCCUAAGGCUAAAUACUCUCUAGUGACCGAUAGUGAACCAGUACCGUGAGGGAAAGGUGAAAAGCACCCCGGAAGGGGAGUGAAAUAGAACCUGAAACCGUGUGCUUACAAGUAGUCAGAGCCCGUUAAUGGGUGAUGGCGUGCCUUUUGUAGAAUGAACCGGCGAGUUACGAUUUGAUGCAAGGUUAAGCAGUAAAUGUGGAGCCGUAGCGAAAGCGAGUCUGAAUAGGGCGUUUAGUAUUUGGUCGUAGACCCGAAACCAGGUGAUCUACCCUUGGUCAGGUUGAAGUUCAGGUAACACUGAAUGGAGGACCGAACCGACUUACGUUGAAAAGUGAGCGGAUGAACUGAGGGUAGCGGAGAAAUUCCAAUCGAACCUGGAGAUAGCUGGUUCUCUCCGAAAUAGCUUUAGGGCUAGCCUCAAGUGAUGAUUAUUGGAGGUAGAGCACUGUUUGGACGAGGGGCCCCUCUCGGGUUACCGAAUUCAGACAAACUCCGAAUGCCAAUUAAUUUAACUUGGGAGUCAGAACAUGGGUGAUAAGGUCCGUGUUCGAAAGGGAAACAGCCCAGACCACCAGCUAAGGUCCCAAAAUAUAUGUUAAGUGGAAAAGGAUGUGGCGUUGCCCAGACAACUAGGAUGUUGGCUUAGAAGCAGCCAUCAUUUAAAGAGUGCGUAAUAGCUCACUAGUCGAGUGACACUGCGCCGAAAAUGUACCGGGGCUAAACAUAUUACCGAAGCUGUGGAUUGUCCUUUGGACAAUGGUAGGAGAGCGUUCUAAGGGCGUUGAAGCAUGAUCGUAAGGACAUGUGGAGCGCUUAGAAGUGAGAAUGCCGGUGUGAGUAGCGAAAGACGGGUGAGAAUCCCGUCCACCGAUUGACUAAGGUUUCCAGAGGAAGGCUCGUCCGCUCUGGGUUAGUCGGGUCCUAAGCUGAGGCCGACAGGCGUAGGCGAUGGAUAACAGGUUGAUAUUCCUGUACCACCUAUAAUCGUUUUAAUCGAUGGGGGGACGCAGUAGGAUAGGCGAAGCGUGCGAUUGGAUUGCACGUCUAAGCAGUAAGGCUGAGUAUUAGGCAAAUCCGGUACUCGUUAAGGUUGAGCUGUGAUGGG
rnacentral:rRNA from 1 species